rnacentral:lncRNA from 1 species
UCUAACUAAAUUGGCAGUUAAUUCCUAACACUCAAUGCUAUUGUCUAUCCCUAGCAGCGGCCCUAAAAUAUGAUUGUCGUUUGAUUUAUUCUACAAUUCUUUUCAAAAUAAAUCUAUAUAGGAGAAUUUGAAUACAUGGAAAGUCUAAGUACAUGAGUUUUACUUGUUAGGGUCACACAAUCAACUAUAUUCCGAACCACUGAAAUACUAAGAAACAUUACAAUGCUUUUUUCUAGUAACAAUACUCCUUCAUCAAUUGAUAACAAUAGUGUGCAACCCUGUACUCUAAAAAGACCGCUCAAAAUACAAUAAUUUCCAUCCAAUACUAGCAAUAAUAGACUUCACUCCAACAAUCUGAAUUCACAUAAUUUCUAUAAUCACAAACUUCCUCUAUCGAAACACACACAGCUCUCAAUAAACAACAAUCAUAAUCUU